rnacentral:rRNA from 1 species
UACGUAGGGUGCGAGCGUUAAUCGGAAUUACUGGGCGUAAAGCGUGCGCAGGCGGUUCGUUGUGUCCGUCGUGAAAGCCCCGGGCUUAACCUGGGAACUGCGAUGGAAACUAGCGAGCUGGAGUGUGGCAGAGGGGGGUGGAAUUCCGCGUGUAGCAGUGAAAUGCGUAGAUAUGCGGAGGAACACCGAUGGCGAAGGCAAUCCCCUGGACCUGUACUGACGCUCAUGCACGAAAGCGUGGGGAGCAAACAGG